rnacentral:rRNA from 1 species
UGGAGGAUAGCCUUUCGAAAAGGAAGAUUAAUACUCCAUAAUAUAUUGAUUGGCAUCAAUUAAUAUUGAAAAGCUCCGGCGGAUAGAGAUGGGGCACGCGCAAGAUUAGUUAGUUGGUGAGGUAACGGCUCACCAAGACGAUGAUCUUUAGGGGGCCUGAGAGGGUGAUCCCCCACACUGGUACUGAGACACGGACCAGACUCCUACGGGAGGCAGCAGUGAGGAAUAUUGGACAAUGGGUGCAAGCCUGAUCCAGCCAUCCCGCGUGAAGGACGACUACCCUAUGGGUUGUAAACUUCUUUUGUAUAGGGAUAAACCUCUCCUCGUGAGGAGAGCUGAAGGUACUAUACGAAUAAGCACCGGCUAACUCCGUG